GUGUUCACUUUGGCAGCACAUGCACAAAAAUUGGAACAAUACAGAGAAGAUUCAUAAGGUGUCUGCGCAAGGAUGACAUACAAAUUUGUGAGGUGUUCCACAUAAAA
ensembl:snRNA U6 U6 spliceosomal RNA